GCCAUUGUUGCUGUUUUCGGGGGGAAUUUUGGGCGCUUACCGCGUAUAAUUUAUCUAUGCAUAUGUUUUGAGUUGCCAGCAACAGCGGCAGCGGCACAAGCUCGAGCUGAGGUAGCCCGAAAUGGAGGCCCUGCCCUACAUAAAUCACAGUCACUAGCACGCAUUCGCAGGCGUAACCACCCCAUCAACACCCCUUUCAUGUCGGUGUGUACUCCACGUAUGGAUUCUUCCACGUACCAAUCGGAUUCUGUAUAGAAUUGCCAGGAAUAUAACCGAGCAUUUGCUUGGCUCGAAAUGAUGCUAUAAAAGACCUGGAUUGAGCUGUUUAAGAUAUACAACCAGACUGACCGUCACGAUGAAGUUCCUCCAAAUCGCUGCUGUCCUGCUCUCUGUUGUUGCUCUGGCGAGUGCCCAGGAGGACGCUGGCAACGCCAACACAAACACAAACCAAAUCGAUAUAGCAGGAUAAAAUUCCUUACAUAAUUUUAUUACAUAUAAAAAUACAAUAAAAAAGCUUAUACAGUA